AUGGCGAAGGCAUGCUCACCGACCAGCCCACAAACCCUGGUCGUCUGGGAUAUACGGAGGAGCCCGCACACAGGCCCUAGCACUUUUGGUGCAAAGGCACCCAAGGCGUCCACGUGCGCCACCCAUGGUGUCUUCUUCGACCGGCGUCUUCAUCCAUCUACACCACCACAACGACGUCGAAGCUGCAGACCUGCAGCCCAGCACCAUCUACACCACCACCACGACAUUGAAGCCGCCCGCUUACAGCCCGGCGCCAUCUCCACCCUGCCAAUAUCAACAUGCACCAAAGUUGAGUUCAAUGACACAUGGCGCCCAAGAGCUGAGCAGAUGAUGUUCAUGUACACAUGA
rnacentral:rRNA from 1 species